ACAUACACAUACACACAUAUACACGCACACCCCAUUUAAAAACACAGUCAUAUUUCCAUGAAUAAUUACACAAUUUGAUCUUGAUUCUCCUUAGCACUUCUCUUCGUACUGGCGGCGACGGUAACUCUCCUGAUGAAUAUUUCGACUGCCAAGCCCCCAGAUUUAGGUGGAGUUUUCCCACACCUUUGACCCCUCAAAAUGUAAAGGUAUUAAUGAUGGUUUGUGAUGUUCACUACUAGCAAUUGCAUGGACAGAAUAAUCCAUAAUCAAUAAAACGUGAAAAUA